rnacentral:rRNA from 1 species
GACGAACGCUGGCGGCGUGCUUAACACAUGCAAGUCGAGCGGUAAGGCCCUUUCGGGGGUACGACGAGCGGCGAACGGGUGAGUAACACGUGGGUGACCUGCCCUCCAGCUCUGGGAUAAGCCUGGGAAACCGGGGUCUAAUACCGGAUAUGACUCCAUGACGCAUGUUGUGGGGUGGAAAGCCUUGUGCGGCUGAGGAUGGGCCCGGCCGGCCUAUCAGCUUGUUGGUGGGGUGAUGGCCUACCAAGGCGACGACGGGUAGCCGGCCU